rnacentral:rRNA from 1 species
AUGAACGCUGGCGGCGUGCCUAAUACAUGCAAGUCGAGCGAACAGACGAGGAGCUUGCUCCUCUGACGUUAGCGGCGGACGGGUGAGUAACACGUGGAUAACCUACCUAUAAGACUGGGAUAACUUCGGGAAACCGGAGCUAAUUCCGGAUAAUAUAUUGAACCGCAUGGUUCAAUAGUGAAAGACGGUUUUGCUGUCACUUAUAGAUGGAUCCGCGCCGCAUUAGCUAGUUGGUAAGGUAACGGCUUACCAAGGCGACGAUGCGUAGCCGACCUGAGAGGGUGAUCGGCCACACUGGAACUGAGACACGGUCCAGACUCCUACGGGAGGCAGCAGUAGGGAAUCUUCCGCAAUGGGCGAAAGCCUGACGGAGCAACGCCGCGUGAGUGAUGAAGGUCUUCGGAUCGUAAAACUCUGUUAUUAGGGAAGAACAAAUGUGUAAGUAACUAUGCACGUCUUGACGGUACCUAAUCAGAAAGCCACGGCUAACUACGUG